GCGGGCUAUGCUUGUGUCGCGUCGCGUCGUGCCCUUCUUGUGACGACAAUCGACGCGCGAACACGUAUCGUCACUUGUUCUUUUUUUUUAUUUAAUAAUUCUAACAUUCAUCCGGACUUGAAGACGAUCUUGCGGUUUUCGAGCAUCAUGAUACAAACUAAAAGUAAAAAAAAAACAACAGCAAUAAUUGGAUGGUUUUGAAGAUUUGUAACUGAGCCGCGAUAGUGAUACAAAAAUGAAGACCAUUGAGGAAUAUAAAAAAAAAUGUAAAUUUGCUGCCCGCAUUGCAAGCAGCUUACAUGAAUAUAGAACUUAAAUCGAAAAGUCAAAAUGGAAUUUAAUUUAUUUUCAAAUUUUUAACGGUAGAAUGCAACUGUGAAAUUUUUAGCGACUGUUAGUGAAGAGUGCGAUACAGUGCUGGAUACUAUGGAACAAGAACAAAGCCAGAACUUAAGUGCAGAAGACUAAAAAAAAGAAAAAUCCAAUUUGAAAACUUGGCUGUUCAAUGAUACGAUUACCCACAAAAUCAUGAUUACAAAAAUGACAUCACAAUAGAAACUUCAUACAAGGGCUUUCAACUUCAUUGUUGGCUGUUAUGGUGACAUACGGACAAGGUGAAAUCAACGAACAGUCUAUGAGACGCUUUCUCUGCAUUGUAAAAUGCUCAAGAAAAUACUAGUGUAUAUCCACCUUUAUUUUAUUCAAAGAAGAAAACCAACGCUUUAUUGUUCAUUGCAUAUGUUUGAAAUUAUUGAUGACCAUCAGCAAGAGAAGAGAGGAAGAAAGAAGAUAAAGAAGUAAAAAGAAGAUUGUACUGGUGAUUGCCACUAGCGAGGUAUAGAGUUCCUACGUAUGCACAAACUGUAGGAACUUCAUACCGUGCUCUUGGGUUUGCCAAACUUCUGCACGUCGUACCAACUGCUUCUAAGAUA